rnacentral:lncRNA from 1 species
UCAGUUGCAUUUCUGAAUGUCAUUUAAAACAGUAUUCAUAUAUUUUUCAGAACAAGAAAAGACAUAUCCAGAGAAUAAGGAGUCCCUUACGGUACACCCGCCCCUAUCAGCCAAGGUUUGAAGGGAAAAACCUGCAUUCACGUUUCAGGUUUUUCAGGACUAUGGAGGAACAGCGUUUUAUACGGCGCCCAAAUUUUGCACUGAGGUACCAGAGGCAUCAUACAUAUCAGUGGUCCAGUCUACAGCUAAGGCGUAAGCCCAGAGCCUCUCCUCCUUCCAGACAGCAGUUCCACAAAGGCCUGAACAAGAAUAGCUCCACGGCACAUAUUGAACCCGGCAGAACAGGUGUCACAGAAACCCAGCAACAGAGAUGCUCUCUCAUCUGUGACAUGUGCUGUGGCACGAAACAGAGCUAUACAGAAGAAACAAGAGCAGAUAGAGGAGGUAACAUUAUGUCUGUGUGUUGUGUGAAGGAUCAGUUUCCACAGUAUAAUAAGUCAGACUGAUAUGGGAUUUUACCAAUAAUAAUAAGUAAAGCACACAUUCACAUGGCAGCAGAACAUAGUUGUCAUUCCUGUGUUUGAGUAUUUAAAGGGAUAGUUCACCCAAAAAUGAAAUUUACCCCAUGAUUUACUCACCCUCAAGCCACCC